rnacentral:ribozyme from 1 species
AAACGAGUAAAAAAAACGAAAAAGAGCUAGCACCCUCCGUAAGCGAAUGAAGCAGCCUUGAUCGAGGGUGUCGAUCCGUUUUUCUUUCUUUCUGCCUUUCCUUUCGUUUGUUUUACUUUGUCUUGCACUGGUCGAUCUGCAGGAAGAGAGAAAAAACGGUUUUUGCAUGUACGGUUGGAUGAAGAGAAAAGAACA